rnacentral:rRNA from 1 species
GCGCACGCUGGCGGCAGGCCUAACACAUGCAAGUCGAACGAACCUUUCGGGGUUAGUGGCGGACGGGUGAGUAACACGUGGGAACGUGCCUUUAGGUUCGGAAUAACUCAGGGAAACUUGUGCUAAUACCGAAUGUGCCCUUCGGGGGAAAGAUUUAUCGCCUUUAGAGCGGCCCGCGUCUGAUUAGCUAGUUGGUUGAGGUAAUGGCUCACCAAGGCGACGAUCAGUAGCUGGUCUGAGAGGAUGAUCAGCCACAUUGGGACUGAGACACGGCCCAAACUCCUACGGGAGGCAGCAGUGGGGAAUCUUGCGCAAUGGGCGAAAGCCUGACGCAGCCAUGCCGCGUGAAUGAUGAAGGUCUUAGGAUUGUAAAAUUCUUUCACCGGGGACGAUAAUGACGGUACCCGGAGAAGAAGCCCCGGCUAACUUCGUG